CCCUCCGGAAGCUUCCUCGCCGACGCUCGCCGACGAACGCCCACGGGAGCACAGUGCUCCGACAUGUUUUAAUGGCGCUCGGCCUCUUCUCCUGCCCCCCUUUGGCCUCCUCCUCCUCGUGAACUCUCUCCUGCUUCCCUCCCUCGUCGUUUGCCCCGAGCCCAUGCGCGCGGGCACGCGUCCGCGGCGCCGGACUCGCGUCGCCGGCGGUGCCAGCUCGGCCUCCCUCUCACCCGCCUAUAAAUGGCCUCCCCCGAGCCCUUCGAGCUCACCAGCAGCCUCCCCGCUCUCCUCUAGCCCCGCCCAAGCUCUUCCCCGAGCUCGAGAAGCUCUCCUGCCCUCCCAUGGCCGCCAUGGCCGCCGCUCGGGUCCGCUCGAAUUCGGCCAAAGCCAAGCCCCCCUCCACCUCUAGCUACCACCUACGUCUUCCCCGUGCUCCGGUGAACCUCCCCAGCCCCUCCAUUCAUCGCCGGAGUGCUUCAGGCCGCCGUUCCCUAGGUCAACCGCCGCCGCCGCCCUCGGCCCCCGCCAGCCGCGCCGUCGUCUCCGGGCCUUCCCCGCGCCUGCUGCUGCUCCAGGAGGGAGCAGCACUCCGUUCCGCGCCCGCCGGUGGUCCCAGCUCCACCGGGGACGGCCGGAGCUGCCCAGGCCAUCGCCGGCGCCCCUCGGCCUCGCCUCUCCCCUGCUCCUGUCGAGAGGAAGAAGGAGAUGGCCAGGUGGGGCGUUGACCUGGCUAGGCGGGCCCGGCGACCCCACAUGUCAGCCACACGAGCCGGCCCCGCCUCUGCCCUUUUGACCAGUCCACCGCACCUCAGCCCCCCUCCGAGAGAGAACGUUUUCCGGCGAAUCUUUCCGCAGCUUCACCGCACUUCUCCCCGGUGCUUUCUUCAUCCCCAGGCAAGCCACAAUACCCACUUGCAUGAUAGUCAUGCAGUAGCCAUGGUUUUCAACUUGAAUAUUUAAUAAAUGUUUGCUUGUUGAAAAGAUGGUUAUCGUUGUCCCGGUGAUGUUCCGAUUUGCAUGUUUACUUUUGUGCUAUGUUGUCUUAUGCUCCGUGAUCAUGUUAUACCUGCUAGUAUUUCCUUUCAUAUGUUUAUGCUUGAUUAGUAGUACAUGUUGAUGUUGGAGAUGGUCAUGCUAGUCAGUAUGCGAUGUUCGGUGGAUAUGAUUUAUUGUUGAUAUGGUGGAUAGUUAUGUGAUACUCUCAUGAUGA